rnacentral:rRNA from 1 species
CAGCAGUGAGGAUAUUGCGCAAUGGGGGAACCCUGACGCAGCGACGCCGCGUGAGUGAGGAAGGCCUUCGGGUCGUAAAGCUCUGUCAAGAGGAAAGAAGUGUACAAUGGCUAAUACCUGUUGUAUUUGACGGUACCUCUAAAGGAAGCACCGGCUAACUCCGUGCCAGCAGCCGCGGUA